UUUUUUGUAUUUUUAGAUAUUUAGGACAGUUCUCAAGUGUCACUAAUUUAUGACUCUAAACCCUCCCCCCUUCGUAGUUUGUGAAGCUUCAAUCGCCCAACUCUCUCAAAUUCAUUCGCUCGGCAACCACGACAACCCAACAACGCUCCAUCUUCGACGGCUACGUGACUAGACAUCAAUCUAUAGCGUUUCAUCUUCUUCCUUUUAAGGGCUCUACCCCAAACCCACACGAUUUGGUGAUUUUAUUCCUCCCAACAGUGAUCCACGACAAGGCGAGUAACCACAAAAAUUGCAAAGUAGGGAGCAACAACAACUACUUUCUUCUCCGUUCAUCCUUUCCAUGUCUUUCCAUUUCUUUCUCUUUGGCAGUCUGGAUGCGAACUAUAGUUUUCAUCGAGGUCUUCUCCGAUUUUUAAGAAAAUAGGGAGCUAGAGGUCGCCAACUACCAAAACAUCCUAAGUACUUCAUGGAGAUCAGAGAGGUGAUAAUGACAGUAAAUGAAUGUGUCUUAAUUUUGAAAGAGAGAAGUAAGUGAUUGAUUUUGACUUCAUAGCUUAUUUUUGUUGAAAAUGUAUAUAAUUCUUGAGUUUAAAGACUUCGUGUGAAUAUUUGUUGUUACAAACUAUCUUUAUUUUAAUGUUAUUUUGCCUUUAACUUACUCAUAUAUGGCCAUGUUGUAUGCAAAAAAUAAAAAAUAAAAAAAUAAUCUCCAAGAAGUUGAUAGAUUCCACGACUCAGGGAAGCACUGAAAGUUCGUAAUGGAAUUUGGAGGUAGAUUUUUUUCUCUUUCUAACUUCGUAAUGGAAUAGCAAAUAAAAUAGAUGUGGAACAUUUCAUAUUGUGUAUUCAGGGGACAGAGAGUUCGUUUAGUAUUACUAAACUAGCCAUUUCUCAAUUGUUCCUGACCAGGUACAAUAUGCAAUGUUAUUGUUAUUUGUACUAUUAUCCAAAAACUCUGGACAAUUCGCACAAUGUGCACACUGCAAUGGCAAGCAUUAAGAAGUUUUUGCCACUAAGUAAGUAUCACUUUGCACAAUCUCUCAUCUUCUUAUGAGUUAAAUGCUUGCUUUUGUUAUCAAUUAAAUUUGUUUAAAAAUGGUAGAUUUCUCUUUUGGUGAUAAUCUUAUUUUCUUUGCAAUGCUUUGUGGGUUAUCUGUUGUAGCUUGUAUAAAAAACCGAUGCUAUUUCAUCUGGCUUGAUAACAGCCAAUUCCUCUCAAAAAAAGGAAGGGGAUUAGAUUGUUCUAACCGCCUGUGUUACGCGAAUAUCUAUUUUUGGGGGGGUCCUUAUAUUUUGUAAUGCACUUGAAGUAUAUAGUUCAAAAGUUUUCAUUGUCUGUAAGUUUGUUAAAUAUUAACUUCUUCAACAAUUGAACCCACCAUCUCUCUUAUUGCAAAGUAGCAGGUUAUUAGUAAAUUUAAUACUCCAAUUUUCAGAGUACGAGUGUCACUAGCUUAGGCCUAUUUAGGAAGGAACUUUAUGUAGUUUUCAUAGUCAAACUAUCACUUAGAUAGUUUGACUAAGUGAACAUUUUAAGUGACUUUGUGAGACUUGGUCUCUUUAUAGUUUGUUUUCUAGAUUAAAAGUAUCACUAAGACAUUUUUUAGAAACUUUUUAUAUCACUUCACAGUCAAAGUGUGACUUAAAAACAUUUUUAGAACACGUAGUUUUGAGAGUCAAAUAAAACUUAGACACUUUUAUGGAACUUGUUAGUUGUCAAAGGGUCACUUAGUCAUUUUUAGUUUGUUUGGAAAGUGAGAGUGUCACUUAGAUACUUUUUAGGAACCUUUUACACGGUUUUCAAUGACAAAGUAUCAUUUAGCUACCUCUUAGGAACAUUUCAGGUGGUUUUGAGGGUCAAAGUGAGGCUUAAGCACUCUUUGUUUGUUUGGAGAGUGAAAGUGUCGCAUAGACACUUCUUAGUAACUUUUUACAUGGUUUUUAUAGGCAAAGUGUGACUUAACUACUUUUUAGGGACAUUUUAGGUGGUUUUGAGGGCCAAAAUGUGAAUUAACUACCUUAAGUAUUCCCAACUAACUAACAAAAUGAAAAAGUUUUAUUGGAGAAGGUAACCCAACUUCUUUACUGUCAGUGAGAGAUAGGUCAGUGCACUCUUUCUCUUUUGUUCUUGUUAUGGUCGUCUAGAAACAUGGAAGUUAUCUUAUAUGGUUAUCUUUUUAAAGCUAGAGUUUUUGUUAUCAUAUUUAAAAAUAUCUCAUAUGUUUCAUGGGAAGAAGACUCAAACAUUUAACAAAGGCAGUAAGUUUCCUUUGAUGGCUCUCGUAGAAUCCAUAAUACCUUAUGUUUAAGGUUCUAUUUGACAUUUCAAUCUUUGUUGCUAUCUGUUUUUGAUAAUAUUGUAUAUAUUAUCCAUGAUGGUUUCUUAUUGGUUUAUUUAUUGAAAUUGAGAAAAACUUGGUGGACUCGGUACCUGUUAGAAGAUUACCUUUCUUGUUUCUUUGAUUAGAUAUCUUUAUGUUCUUUUAUUUUUCUUAGGGCUUGAAGAACCUCAAGGUAUGUUCUCUGAUAUCAUUCUUGUUGAUUUCUAGUAUUUCUUGCUUAUUUUAACACUAAGCAUGCUUAUGGUAUGUUAAAUUCUUAAGCUCGUUGGCUAACAAUGUGAAGCUCUUUCAAAUAUUUGUUGCGCAUAUUAGUCAUGCGUGUAGUUUGUUGGAAGUAUCUGUUUUUUUUUUUUUUUUUUUUUUUUUUUUUUUUUAUCGUUAUACUAAUGGUAGUUUAAUUUUUUUCAAGUCAUUGUUUAUAGUUAUGUCUCAAGUAAGAAACAAUUUGUGUGAUGGGUUAUUUCUCUUUUUAGUUUGUUUCUAAAUUGAAAUGACCACUAAGAUAUUUUAUAUUAUGUGACCGGGAGGGUGGUUGCGAAAAAGCUAGGUAGAUUUAUUGUGAUCUACUCUCUAAAUACCUAUUUAUUAGUUUGGAUAUUGUGUUGAAGGAAUGAAUUGUUUUUAGGUGUCCAUAUAUGCCAUUAGUGAGUGAGUGUUUAAUUUUUAUUCUAGGAAUGACGUAUGAGAAGGAUGCUUAGACUUACAUGAAUGUUGUGAUUAUCAAUAACGUUUACGUAUUGAAUUGAACUCUAAAAUGAAUGUUGUAUUUUUCCUAGGUCUUACACGAACCCAUUGAAGUGGUGAAACUAUUGAUUGACGUUUGGUUAGUGACAAAACUUGUUGUAGUAUAGUUAUAGCAAUAUCUUAUUGUAUUUAGUUUCUUUGUAAAAAUGUUACCAAGGUUAGUUACUAAUUUGCUUGUAUUUGUCCCUUUGGGAUCAUUUGAUAGCCUCCUGGUAUUUAGCUUCUUUGUAAAAAUGUCAUCAACUUUAUUGUUAUAUAUGAAACUUCUUAUUUAUGUU